rnacentral:rRNA from 1 species
CUACGGGGGGCAGCAGUAAGGAAUAUUGCGCAAUGGAGGCAACUCUGACGCAGCCAUGCCGCGUGCAGGAAGAAGGCCUUAUGGGUCGUAAACUGCUUUUAUUUAGGAAUAAACCCCCGAACGUGUUCGGGGCUGAAGGUACUAAACGAAUAAGCACCGGCUAACUCCGUGCCAGCAGCCGCGGUAAUACGGAGGGUGCAAGCGUUAUCCGGAUUUAUUGGGUUUAAAGGGUGCGCAGGCGGGCUAUUAAGUCAGUGGUGAAAUCCCGGGGCUCAACACCGGAACUGCCAUUGAUACUGAUAGUCUUGAGUUUGGUUGAAGUGGGCGGAAUGUAGCAUGUAGCGGUGAAAUGCAUAGAUAUGCUACAGAACACCAAUCGCGAAGGCAGCUCACUAAGCCAAAACUGACGCUCAUGCACGAAGGCGUGGGGAUCAAACAGGAUUAGAUACCCGGGUAGUC